UACGUAGGGGGCGAGCGUUGUCCGGAAUCACUGGGCGUAAAGCGCGUGUAGGCGGUGGGGCAAGUCUGCGGUGAAAGCGCCCGGCUUAACUGGGCGUGGUCCGUGGAAACUGCUCGACUGGAGGACGGUAGAGGGGGGUAGAAUUGCUGGUGUAGCGGUGAAAUGCGUAGAGAUCAGCAGGAAUACCCGUGGCGAAGGCGGGUCUCUGGGCCGAUACUGACGCUGAGGAGCGAAAGCGUGGGGAGCGAACAGG
rnacentral:rRNA from 1 species